GGACCAUUACCCGCUUUCCUGUUCACUCUUUUACCCCACUAUACCCAGAACCCUUCGGUCCUUCACUCUGGCAAUCCUACCCACCUUCCCCAUUCUUCAUCCCCAUGGAAUCUGCCUUCCUUGUCCACCUUAAACUCCUCAGGCAAUUGCUACAACCACUGCCUUGCUUCUGUCCUCAAUUCCUUUGCCCCUCUACAUCACUUCUUCAUGCUUGUCAGCUCUAAUUCCUAGUUAACCUUAAUCCUUCACUGAAUCUGCGUGUGCUCAUGGAGCUGAACAUGACUGGAAAAACCUCAGCAAUGCCACCUGCUCCCACCUUUGAUUCAGACUACUCAGCAAUCGAGCUGAUGGAAGAUCUUGUUUUCCUGCUACACGAGAAAAUGAGACCAAUUGCAGCCGCAUCUACCUUCCCUGCACACACAUCUGUACAUUCUAUCUUCCCAGCAGUUAUUACAGAUGAACAGCCAACAUAAGAUGUAUCCCCAGUACUGAGAAUAGAUUUGGCAAAUAGUAGAACUUCAUUAUUUGAUGAAUGAACUAUUACCCUUAAAAUGACUGAAAUCACAAUUUAGUAACUACUUUAUGAGUAUAUUUUGACGAAGAAUCUCCAUAGAUGUUUCUGAGACACUUUCAUUUGGGAAUCCAUAAUAAAAUGUCAUUA